rnacentral:tRNA from 1 species
GAUUGGAUACGCUAAAUUAAGCCAUUGGGUUCAUGCCCCAAAAAUGAGUACUCCUCUCCAAUUA